rnacentral:sRNA from 1 species
CAAUAAUGAAACUUCCUUUCCUGAGCUUCUGAGCACUCUCUGAAGAUGGAAGCCCUUACACUUGGUGGGUUGGCAAAGCCAAUGAGAAGCACUACUACUG